CCUCAACCUUUCUAUUUGUUUUGUGACUUAGAGUGUGUUAGGUAAGGUAAUGAGUCUCUGGUUUGUAAUUUAUAACCAAAAUCUAGCUAAACAUCCAGUCUUAGACCUUGGAUGCAGUGUGCAUGACAUUUUCAGAGGUUACAGGUGUGUGCCACGGAGUAAGAACAGCAGUCCCUUCUGGAAAUGGCUUGGGAAUACCUCCUUGUAUGGAGGAAGCAGGAGCAUUUGUGAGAUUUUGAAGACAGAAGAGUGAAAGAUGAGGUGCUAAAUCUGAGACUGUGGCUGUUAAAAUGAGCUGCUGAACACUAGAGAGCAAGGAUUACUGCAUUGCCUAACAGACUGCUGCAGAACCUCUGAGCCUUUUAUUUCCAGUAAUAAAAAAGAAAUCCAUGUGUGUCUCAACA